rnacentral:rRNA from 1 species
GAUGAACGCUGGCGGCGUGCUUAACACAUGCAAGUCGAACGGUGAAGCAGAGCUUGCUCUGUGGAUCAGUGGCGAACGGGUGAGUAACACGUGAGCAACCUGCCCUGGACUCUGGGAUAAGCGCUGGAAACGGCGUCUAAUACUGGAUACGAGACGUGGCCGCAUGGUCAACGUUUGGAAAGAUUUUUUGGUUCAGGAUGGGCUCGCGGCCUAUCAGCUUGUUGGUGAGGUAAUGGCUCACCAAGGCGUCGACGGGUAGCCGGCCUGAGAGGGUGACCGGCCACACUGGGACUGAGACACGGCCCAGACUCCUACGGGAGGCAGCAGUGGGGAAUAUUGCACAAUGGGCGCAAGCCUGAUGCAGCAACGCCGCGUGAGGGACGACGGCCUUCGGGUUGUAAACCUCUUUUAGCAGGGAAGAAGCGAAAGUGACGGUACCUGCAGAAAAAGCACCGGCUAACUACGUGCCAGCCGCCGCGGUAAGAC